UCCGGAGAGGGAGCCUGAGAAAUGGCUACCACAUCCAAGGAAGGCAGCAGGCGCGUAAAUUGCCCGAAUCCUGGCACAGGGAGGUAGUGACAAGAAAUAACAAUACAGGGCUCUUUCGAGUCUUGUAAUUGGAAUGAGUACAAUUUACAUCUCUUCACGAGGAUCAAUUGGAGGGCAAGUCUGGUGCCAGCAGCCGCGGUAAUUCCAGCUCCAAUAGCGUAUAUUAAAGUUGUUGCAGUUAAAACGCUCGUAGUCGGAUUUCGGGGCGGUCUUGCCGGUCUGCCGUUGGGUAUGCACUGGUGCGAGCGUCCUUCCUUCCGGAGACGGUGCCCGCUCUUAACUGAGUGGGUCUCGGAGACGGAUCGUUUACUUUGAAAAAAUCAGAGUGUUUCAAGCAGGCAGCUCGCUUUUGCAUGGAUUAGCAUGGGAUAAUGAAAUAGGACUUUGGUGCUAUUUUGUUGGUUUCGAACACCGAAGUAAUGAUUAACAGGGACAGUCAGGGGCACUCGUAUUCCGCCGAGAGAGGUGAAAUUCUCAGACCAGCGGAAGACGAACCACUGCGAAAGCAUUUGCCAGGGAUGUUUUCACUGAUCAAGUACGAAAGUUGGGGGAUCGAAGACGAUCAGAUACCGUCGUAGUCUUAACCAUAAACCAUGCCGACUAGGGAUUGGGGGAUGUUCACUUAUUGACUCCCUCAGCACCUUACGGGAAACUAAAGUCUUUGGGUUCCGGGGGGAGUAUGGUCGCAAGGCUGAAACUUAAAGGAAUUGACGGAAGGGCACCACCAGGUGUGGAGCCUGCGGCUUAAUUUGAC
rnacentral:rRNA from 1 species